CGUGUAGGCGGCUCAUUAAGUCAGAUGUGAAAGCCCACGGCUUAACCGUGGAACUGCAUUUGAAACUGAUAGGCUUGAGUAUGAGAAGGGGUAGUGGAAUUCCCAGUGUAGCGGUGAAAUGCGUAGAUAUUGGGAAGAACACCAGUAGCGAAGGCGACUACCUGGCUCAUUACUGACGCUAAUGCGCGAAAGCGCGGGGAGCAAACA
rnacentral:rRNA from 1 species